AGAGUUUGAUCCUGGCUCAGGAUAAACGCUGGCGGCGUGCCUAAUACAUGCAAGUCGAUCGAUAGAAGUCCAGCUUGCUGGACGGAAAUAGAGGCGAACGGGUGAGUAAUACGUAAGCAACCUGCCCACGAAGACUGGGAUAAUCCCUGGAAACGGGGAUUAAGACCGGAUAGGUACAGAGAUCGCAUGAUCUUUGUAUUAAAGGUGAGAGACACUGGUGGAUGGGCUUACGGUGCAUUAGCUGGAUGGUGAGGUAACGGCCCACCAUGGCGAUGAUGCAUAGCCGGGCUGAGAGGCUGAACGGCCACAUUGGGACUGAGACACAGCCCAGACUCCUACGGGAGGCAGCAGUAGGGAAUUUUCGGCAAUGGGGGAAACCCUGACCGAGCAACGCCGCGUGAGUGAUGAAGGUCUUCGGAUUGUAAAGCUCUGUUGUAAGGGAAGAACGGCAUCUAUAGAAUAGGUGAGUGACGGUACCUUACCAGAAAGCUACGGCUAACUACGUGCCAGCAGCCGCGGUAAUACGUAGGUAGCGAGCGUUAUCCGGAAUUAUUGGGCGUAAAGGGUGCGUAGGCGGCCUGUUAAGUUUAUGGUGAAAGCGUGGGGCUCAACCCCAUAAAGCCAUAGAUACUGGCAGGCUAGAGUACUGGAGAGGGUAGUGGAAUUCCAUGUGUAGCGGUAAAAUGCGUAGAUAUAUGGAGGAACACCGGUGGCGAAGGCGGCUACCUAGACAGAGACUGACGCUGAGGCACGAAAGCGUGGGGAGCAAAUAGGAUUAGAUACCCUAGUAGUCCACGCUGUAAACGAUGAAUGCUAGGUAUCGGGGCGACCCGGUGCCGAAACUAACGCGAUAAGCAUUCCGCCUGUGGAGUAUGCACGCAAGUGUGAAACAUAAAGGAAUUGACGGGGGCCCGCACAAGCGGUGGAGUAUGUGGUUUAAUUCGACGCAACGCGAAGAACCUUACCAGGCCUUGACAUCCCUUGCGAAAUCCUGGAGACAGGAGGGAGGCUAUCAAGGAGACAGGUGGUGCAUGGUUGUCGUCAGCUCGUGUCGUGAGAUGUUGGGUUAAGUCCCGCAACGAGCGCAACCCCUGUCGCCAGUUACCAUCAUUGAGUUGGGGACUCUGGCGAGACUGCCUCUGCAAGGAGGAGGAAGGCGGGGAUGACGUCAAAUCAUCAUGCCCCUUAUGACCUGGGCCACACACGUGCUACAAUGGACGGGACAGAGGGAAGCGAAGGCGCGAGCCGGAGCGGACCCCAGAAACCCGUUCCCAGUUCGGACUGCAGUCUGCAACUCGACUGCACGAAGCCGGAAUCGCUAGUAAUCGCGGAUCAGCAUGCCGCGGUGAAUACGUUCUCGGGCCUUGCACACACCGCCCGUCA
rnacentral:rRNA from 1 species